UUUUAUGGAGAGUUUGAUCCUGGCUCAGGAUGAACGCUGGCGGCGUGCCUAAUACAUGCAAGUCGAGCGAACGGACGAGAAGCUUGCUUCUCUGAUGUUAGCGGCGGACGGGUGAGUAACACGUGGAUAACCUACCUAUAAGACUGGGAUAACUUCGGGAAACCGGAGCUAAUACCGGAUAAUAUUUUGAACCGCAUGGUUCAAAAGUGAAAGACGGUCUUGCUGUCACUUAUAGAUGGAUCCGCGCUGCAUUAGCUAGUUGGUAAGGUAACGGCUUACCAAGGCAACGAUGCAUAGCCGACCUGAGAGGGUGAUCGGCCACACUGGAACUGAGACACGGUCCAGACU
rnacentral:rRNA from 3 species